rnacentral:lncRNA from 1 species
GCUGGAAAUAUUUGGCUUGCCAUUGAGAAGCACUCUGGUGACAAAACCACAACUAUGGAGUUUCAGUUAGAGAGUGAGCUUCGCCUUUUGAAGGACAUUAUGUCUAUCUCUGACUAUAUCCUAAAAAUUAAGGAUAUUAGUCAGAGUUUUCGCUCCAUUAGUAGUCAUAGGACAGAUGGCUGCUCUUCAUAGACUUUCCGAGGAGUACAGGAGUUUCAUUACCACUGUUACUACGUGUGAUAAUCUUCCUAAUCUUGAGGAACUUCGCCUGCUACUUCUUUAGGAGGAACAGCAAGAUUAGUGCUUUAGUGCUCUUCAUAGUUUCGCUCCUCCCACUGGCCAUUCUACUGCCUUUGUGGUUGCACGUGGUGAUGGUCGGCCAAGCAAUCAAGGUGGCUGCAAAGAUCAAUCUCGUGGAGGCAGAGGCAAUCGUGGAGGACGACACCAGGGAUCGGGAUAGAUGACUAACUAUCAAUAUGGUGUUCAGCCAAACUACUACUAGCAGUAACAUCCACACUAUCGAGCCACACCACCUCCCA